GAUGAACGCUAGCUACAGGCUUAACACAUGCAAGUCGAGGGGAAACGAUAUUGGAAGCUUGCUUCCGAUAGGCGUCGACCGGCGCACGGGUGAGUAACGCGUAUCCAACCUGCCCACCACUUGGGGAUAACCUUGCGAAAGUAAGACUAAUACCCAAUGAUAUCUCUAGAAGACAUCUGAAGGAGAUUAAAGAUUUAUCAGUGAUGGAUGGGGAUGCGUCUGAUUAGCUUGUUGGCGGGGUAACGGCCCACCAAGGCGACGAUCAGUAGGGGUUCUGAGAGGAAGGUCCCCCACAUUGGAACUGAGACACGGGCCAAACUCCUACGGGAGGCAGCAGUGAGGAAUAUUGGUCAAUGGGCGAGAGCCUGAACCAGCCAAGUAGCGUGCAGGAUGACGGCCCUAUGGGUUGUAAACUGCUUUUAUAAGGGAAUAAAGUGAGUCUCGUGAGACUUUUUGCAUGUACCUUAUGAAUAAGGACCGGCUAAUUCCGUGCCAGCCGCCGCCGUAA
rnacentral:rRNA from 1 species